AAGCCCGCGCGCCAUUAUCUCUAGUGGACAGAUCACGUCGCAAACACCGUGAGAGUGUGACCCUCCCUGCCUCUUCCCUGCACCACGCAUACACACCUGCCCAGAUAGCCGCACACGCGCACACACGCACACAUCCACGCACAUACGUAUAGAUAGAUGCAUAUGCAUGUGUGUGUGCCUAUAUACAGUAUAUGUAGAUCUAUGCGUGCGUGUGCAUUGCCUCCACUGCGCUCCUUAUUACCGUUUUUAUUGUUGCUGUAAUUUGCGGUGUCUCUGUGUGCUCACUCGAUUGCCAUCGCUGCCGAGCGUGUGUGUGUGUGUGUGCGUGCGCCCCUCCCGCCUUCUCCCUCCGUGAGUCGUCGAGCUCCACAAUGCCGAACAGUCAGGGUAACCCCUCCCUCAGCGGCGCUGCCAGUGCUGCUGUGGGUGGUGCAUCGGGGGCCUCGCGUAGCACCUUCAACGCCGCGCACAUCAAGGCCGAGUUCAACCAGUACUGGUACUCCAGGAACACGAUCCACCACCUUGUGCGCGAGGUGUGCCAUCACGCCACCGCCUGCGCCUUCUUGUCCACCCCGUCGCUCUUCUUUGCACUGGACGAGCGCCGCGGCGAUGAGACGGCCGAGGACGAGGCACAGAUGACGCAGCUUCGGCGCUGCAGUCGCGUGUUCGAGUACGACGCCCAGUGGGCCAGCGACCCGUGCUACGUGCAGUACGACUUUCACCAGCCAGAGCAGGUGCCGAUCCAGUACAUGGCUGCCUUCGACUACGUCGUCGCCGACCCGCCAUUCAUCACAGCGGAUGUGUGGGCGCGUUACGUGACGACGGCGAAGCUGCUGCUCAAGGAGGGCGGCAAGCUGCUCUUCACGACGGUGCUGGAGAAUCACACAAUGCUAGAGAACCUGCUCGAUCGCCCGCUCUUCAUUGCCACCUUCUACCCCCUUGUGGAGCACCUAACUUACCAGUACGUGUGCUUCCUCUCUUACGAGCCCACCUGCCUCGCGCAGCCGAACGCGGAGCUGCCCGAGGUGGACGCAAAGAUGGCUGCAGCCAUCCGCGUGGCAAACGACCUGCGCUCUUCGGAGAGGGAGUUCGCUCUGCAGAUGGCGCAGCGCAAGCGUGAGGGCGAGGAGCGGCUGCCUACUGCCGCCUUUGAGCGCGACAACGAGCUCGCGCAAAAUCCGGAGGCGAAGCAACGCGCAGAGGCGGAGCGAAACGCCGUGAACUGGGACACAAUCCCGAUCGAGAAGAUGGAGUGGGGGCACAUCCCGGAGGGGCUCACCAUGUACCCGGAGGGCAACGUGCCACCGGCCGAGGUGCAGCAGAGGGCCGUGUCUGGCACCAGCGACGAUCCGGCGGCAGCGGCACCGGUAGCAGCUGAGAGCUUCGGACUCGAGUACGACGCGUGUCUGCGCCUUCGCGCGAAUCUGGACGCCUUCAAGAGCUCUAUUGAUGCGAUGCAGCGCCACAUGGACGCGCAGAUGAAGCUGCGUCACCAGCGGGUAAAGCUGAGCAAAGAGCUGACGGUGCUGAAAGAGGCAUCCAAGCAUCACGACGACACCGCGGGCUCUUCCGCCUCUGCCAUUGAGGCACAAGUCGCCGAUGCAACGAACGCCAUUGCAAUGAAUGAGCGGGAGCGGGCCGAGAGGCUGGACGAAAUGGAGCUGCUGGCGCGGCAGAUAGAAAAGGGAGAGGCUGAGCUGGUGGCGCUCGCGCUGCAGCAGCCGUCCUCUGCCUCUCCUGCCACCGACAUGGCAGCUGCUGGUGACGUAGAUACCAACGCGGCCGAUGCAAGUGACCAGCAGUCCCCAUCUGCCGCCACCCUGUAUUAUGCCCCCUACGCGGCGGCCAUGAAGGAGUGCAUUCAGGCGUAUCGCACGGUUGAGGCAAAGAAGGUGCCGCUGCAGGAGCUCUCCGCGGAUGCAACGCGUCGCUUCAAGUUUCCUGUCUUCGCACGCAUGAAGGAGUUGCUGCAGCGGAUGAAGGAGCUGAAGCAGCAGCGGUGACGCCACAUUUGCUCAUGUAUGUCGGCGUGUGCGCGGUGCGUGCUGUGCAGCUGCAGGGGCGUGCAUACCUUUCCUAUAGCUCCUUGUCAACCACACCGAAGGUGCACCGCUUCUCUUCCACCCCCACGACGUCCUUCGUAGCCAUCUCUCCCUCGUGCGUGCGUGUGUCUGCCAUAAAGACAAAG
rnacentral:misc_RNA from 1 species